AGCGAACGCUGGCGGCAGGCCUAAUACAUGCAAGUCGAACGGACCCUUCGGGGUUAGUGGCGGACGGGUGAGUAACACGUGGGAACGUGCCUUUAGGUUCGGAAUAGCUCCUGGAAACGGGUGGUAAUGCCGAAUGUGCCCUUAGGGGGAAAGAUUUAUCGCCUUUAGAGCGGCCCGCGUCUGAUUAGCUAGUUGGUGGGGUAAUGGCCCACCAAGGCUACGAUCAGUAGCUGGUCUGAGAGGAUGACCAGCCACAUUGGGACUGAGACACGGCCCAAACUCCUACGGGAGGCAGCAGUGGGGAAUCUUGCGCAAUGGGCGAAAGCCUGACGCAGCCAUGCCGCGUGGAUGAUGAAGGUCUUAGGAUUGUAAAAUCCUUUCACCGGUGAAGAUAAUGACUGUAGCCGGAGAAGAAGCCCCGGCUAACUUCGUGCCAGCCGCCGCAGUAAGAC
rnacentral:rRNA from 1 species